rnacentral:lncRNA from 1 species
GCCAAGGGGUUCCUCCUUUCUUGUCAUUUAGAAGGAAACUCAUCUUCUUUACCAGGCUGACUUCCAUUGAUGUUGAGAGAAUGGGGAAGAAGCCUUGGAGCGAUACUCAAAUGAAAGGAUCUGAGAUCAGGUUGGGUGAUUGAGUAUUGUGGAGGGUUAGCAAAAGGGUUUUGAGCACCUGAGCUCAGCAUUUGGAAAUGGUUUUGAGAACCAGAUGAUAGAGAUAAGGUGGAUGACAAUGGCACAACAUUGAAAUUGUUUACUUCUUCAGUCUGGGGUGCUACAAAUCCAUGGCUUCCUAAAUGUGGUAAAGGAAAAUUGGAAGGUUCGAAAUGAUAAUAAGAACCAUAUGGCAUCGGCAUC